GUCAUAUUCUUGACCAGAUUAUCUCUAUGUCAUCAGCUUGUCCAAUCUAUAGUCAUUGAGCUAUACUUGACAAAUGGUUGGACAAUGAUAAUAAGGUUAGGUGCUGUAAAUUGGAGUUCAUACUUCAUGAACUCCUAUACGUGCAUAAGAAUAUGUAGACUACCAAUGAUAUGCUGGCUCAUCUACAAUAGUUGUAAGGUGAUC
rnacentral:lncRNA from 1 species